UACGGAGGGUGCGAGCGUUGUCCGGAAUCACUGGGCGUAAAGCGCACGUAGGCGGAUUGUUAAGUCAGGGGUGAAAUCCUGGAGCUCAACUCCAGAACUGCCUUUGAUACUGGCGAUCUUGAGUCCGGGAGAGGUGAGUGGAACUGCGAGUGUAGAGGUGAAAUUCGUAGAUAUUCGCAAGAACACCAGUGGCGAAGGCGGCUCACUGGCCCGGUACUGACGCUGAGGUGCGAAAGCGUGGGGAGCAAACAGG
rnacentral:rRNA from 1 species